rnacentral:misc_RNA from 1 species
CCUUGUGGAGGAGGACGCCGAAGGUGGGGCUAAUGACUGGGGUGAAGUCGUAACAAGGUAGCCGUACCGGAAGGUGCGGCUGGAUCACCUCCUAACAGGGAGACAACAAAAUGUUUAAUAUUAUUAUUUUGUCACCUUAGGUCGAUCGGUAUCUCACGUUCUUAAUUCGUUAAGAAUUUCAUUUCCUAAGUUUUUCUAGGUCACACCCAUUAUUUUUCCUGGGCCAUUAGCUCAGGUGGUUAGAGCGCACCCCUGAUAAGGGUGAGGUCCCUGGUUCAAGUCCAGGAUGGCCCAUAUCUCUAUGUUGGGGGUAUAGCUCAGUUGGUAGAGCGCCUGCUUUGCAAGCAGGAUGUCAGCGGUUCGAGUCCGCUUACCUCCACUGAUUACCACCUCUUCCAUAACCCAUAGAAAGGAAAUGUUUUGAGUUGUGAUCAUUAUUCUGAACGAAUCUAGCUUCCUAAUGAAAUCAUUAAGAUGCUGGACUCAUUGAAUUAAUUUUCAUUGUUUUCAGAGAACCUUGACAACUGCAUAGAUUAUUUUUAAAGACAAUAAGCAUCUUUAAUGAUGCAGAUUUAUUAUUUGUGCGAAUGCAUUAAUAACAAUUCUAUUAAGCUGAUGCUUCAAUUUUUGAAGUUAUUGGUCAAGCUACAAAGGGCUCACGGAGGAUACCUAGGCACACAGA